UACGUAGGUGACGAGCGUUAUCCGGAUUUAUUGGGCGUAAAGCGCACGCAGGCGGCAGAGAAAAGUCUGACGUGAAAUCUCCCGGCUUAACUGGGAGCGUCGUUGGAAACUACUUGGCUUGAGGCGAUGAGAGGGGUGUGGAAUUCCCGGUGUAGUGGUGGAAUGCGUAGAUAUCGGGGGGAACAUCAGUGGCGAAAGCGGCACCCUGGCAUUAGCCUGACGCUCAUGUGCGAAAGCGUGGGGACGAACGGG
rnacentral:rRNA from 1 species